UCCGGUGGCGAUAGCGGAGGGGAAACACCCGUUCCCAUUCCGAACACGGAAGUUAAGCCUCCAGCGCCGAUGGUACUGCAUAAGCGGGAGAGUAGGUCGCUGCCGGAA
rnacentral:rRNA from 1 species